GGUGACAGGAACACCUUGAGGGGUCACCGACCUCAACCACGAGAACCUCAAGGGGGGCGAGGACCUGGACCCCAAAUACGUCCUGAGCAGCCGCGUCCGCACCGGCCGCAGCAUCAAGGGCUACUCCCUGCCCCCGCACUGCAGCCGCGGCGAGCGCCGCGCCAUCGAGAAGCUCUCCGUCACCGCCCUGAACAGCCUGGACGGGGAG